AUUAUUUUUUUAGAUUAUUUUUUUAUUGUUGAAAAAUUAAAAACCAAAUUGUUUUUUACAAUAAUUAAAAAUUU
rnacentral:rRNA from 1 species